rnacentral:tRNA from 1 species
GCCAAUGUAGCUCAGUUGGUAGAGCAACGGUUUCUUAAACCGUAGGUCAUCGGUUCGACUCCGAUCAGUGGCUCCA